AGAGUGAACGCUGGCGGUAGGCCUAACACAUGCAAGUCGAACGGCAGCACAGUGGUAGCAAUACCAUGGGUGGCGAGUGGCGGACGGGUGAGGAAUACAUCGGAAUCUACCUUUUCGUGGGGGAUAACGUAGGGAAACUUACGCUAAUACCGCAUACGCCCUUCGGGGGAAAGCCGGGGAUCGCAAGACCUGGCGCGGAUAGAUGAGCCGAUGUCGGAUUAGCUAGUUGGUGAGGUAAUGGCUCACCAAGGCGACGAUCCGUAGCUGGUCUGAGAGGAUGAUCAGCCACACUGGAACUGAGACACGGUCCAGACUCCUACGGGAGGCAGCAGUGGGGAAUAUUGGACAAUGGGCGAAAGCCCGAUCCAGCCAUGCCGCGUGUGUGAAGAAGGUCUUCGGAUUGAAAGCACUUUGAGUUGGAGGAAGGUUGUAACUUAAUACGUUGCUAACUUUGACGUUACCGACAGAAUAAGCAACGGUCUAACUUCGUAGCCAGCAACG
rnacentral:rRNA from 1 species